rnacentral:rRNA from 1 species
UACGUAGGGGGCUAGCGUUGUCCGGAAUCAUUGGGCGUAAAGCGCGUGUAGGCGGUCCGGUAAGUCCGCUGUGAAAGUCGAGGGCUCAACCCUCGAAUGCCGGUGGAUACUGUCGGGCUUGAGUACGGGAGAGGCGAGUGGAAUUCCUGGUGUAGCGGUGAAAUGCGCAGAUAUCGGGAGGAACACCGAUUGCGAAGGCAGCUCGCUGGAACGUUACUGACGCUGAGACGCGAAAGCGUGGGGAGCAAACAGG